rnacentral:rRNA from 1 species
UACGUAGGGUGCAAGCGUUAAUCGGAAUUACUGGGCGUAAAGCGUGCGCAGGCGGCUUUGCAAGACAGAUGUGAAAUCCCCGGGCUUAACCUGGGAACUGCAUUUGUGACUGCAUGGCUGGAGUGCGGCAGAGGGGGAUGGAAUUCCGCGUGUAGCAGUGAAAUGCGUAGAUAUGCGGAGGAACACCGAUGGCGAAGGCAAUCCCCUGGGCCUGCACUGACGCUCAUGCACGAAAGCGUGGGGAGCAAACAGGAUUGAGAUACCCUUG